rnacentral:lncRNA from 1 species
CGGCUCCUCUCUAAUAAGCCCAGGAUUGUUCACAAAAACAGGAGGGGGAAAAAAUCUGAUAGAAAUGCGUUUGUAAGGCCGGGCGGCGAGUAUUUGCAUGGCGAUGAAGGCCGGGAGUGUUCUGCAGUGACUGAGAUGCGAGUCUCAGACAAUACAUGCUGUGUUUGUUCUUCCCGGGGAAGUUUGACGAGGAAAGGAGAAGGAGGAGAAGGAGGAGGGUAGGUCUUCAGUGCAGGGAUUACACAUUUGCUAUUGUGGAGACUCUUCCAGUACCAUGGUGUUUUGUUAAACAGAUUGGGCUCCUUCACACCCAGCGGGGAUCUCUCUCGUGACUUGGCGGACGCAGAAUCUCAAACAGUAACUGGCAUGUAUGACAUCCUACCAGGAAGGAUUACACAACUACCAAGAUCAUGGGUUCUUAUGGUGGCAAAUGAAGAAUUAGCCAAAAUGGGGAAAGGACACUAGAAUCUCCUGCCCACUGGCAAAAAUGCACACAAAAAUACCCUGUGGACAAUAAAAAUGGCCACCCCUAGAGUUUUAGCGAUAGUGACGGUCUUCUCCAUGAUUCUCGGCGGCAUCCCGAGUGACAUUAAAGGCUCUCGGGGUUUGGAGACGCAGCAUUUGGCCCAGAAGUCUACUUAUCCUCAGCGUCGCCUGAAAAGAAGCUGGAUAUGGACACAGUUGUUUGUCCCUGAGGAAGAUCCCUCUCUUGGUGUUAUUGGACAGAUCAGGUCCGACUCUGACCGAGGCGAUUUAUCCAUCAAGUACAUAUUGACAGGAGAAGGUGCCGGAGAUGUCUUUGAGAUAGAUGAGUUUUCUGGUGAGAUCAAUAUACGUCCUUCAACUGUUUCUCAAGGUAUCAACAGACAAAGACAUAGUGAGCUUUGAGGAUGAGUUUUCCCUGAAAAAGCUCGAACGUU